rnacentral:rRNA from 1 species
GCAUAGGCAACCUGCCCUGGAGCCCGGAAUAAUUCCCCCAACGGGGUUGUAAUUCCGGAUACGAAUCCCGAUCCCCGGAUUGGGAUUGAAAGGUGGGGAUCCGCUUCGGCGGACCUGUCACUCCUGGAGGGGCCUGUGUCCUAUUAGCUUGUUGGUGGGGUAACGGCCCACCAAGGCGACGAUGGGUAGUCGGCCUGAGAGGGUGGUCGGCCACACUGGGACUGAGACACUGCCCAGACUCCUACGGGAGGCUGCAGUCGAGAAUCUUCGGCAAUGGGCGAAAGCCUGACCGAGCGACGCCGCGUGUGGGAUGAAGGCCUUCGGGUCGUAAACCACUGUCAAAGGGGAUGAAGGGCGCCGGUGUCAAUACCACCGGUGUCACACCUGACAUAACCUUAAAGGAAGCACCGGCUAACUCCGUGCCAGCAGCCGCGGUAACACGGAGGGUGCAAACGUUGUUCGGAUUCACUGGGCUUAAAGGGCACGUAGGCGGCUGGCUCAGUCAGAUGUGAAAGCCCUCGGCUCAACCGAGGAAUGGCAUUUGAUACUGGCCGGCUUGAGUGGAGAAGGGGAGAGCGGAACUUCUGGUGUAGCGGUGAUAUGCGUAGAUAUCAGAAGGAACGCCGGUGGCGAAAGCGGCUCUCUGGUCUCUUACUGACGCUGAGGUGCGAAAGCGUGGGUAGCAAACAGGAUUAGAUACCCUGGUAGUCCACGCCGUAAACUAUGUCAACUAGCCGUCGGGUUCAUUUAAGAAUUUGGUGGCGAAGCUAACGCGAUAAGUUGACCGCCUGGGGAGUACGGCCGCAAGGUUAAAACUCAAAGGAAUUGACGGGGGCCCGCACAAGCGGUGGAGCAUGUGGUUUAAUUCGAUGCAACGCGAAGAACCUUACCAGCCCUUGACAUCCUCGGAACUUUCUAGAGAUAGAUUGGUGCCUUCGGGAACCGAGUGACAGGUGCUGCAUGGCUGUCGUCAGCUCGUGUCGUGAGAUGUUGGGUUAAGUCCCGUAACGAGCGCAACCCUUGUCCUUAGUUGCCAGCACAUAAUGGUGGGAACUCUAAGGAGACUGCCGGUGACAAACCGGAGGAAGGUGGGGAUGACGUCAAGUCAUCAUGGCCCCUAUGGGCUGGGCUACACACGUGCUACAAUGGCCGGUACAGAGGGCUGCAAACCCGCGAGGGGGAGCUAAUCUCACAAAACCGGUCGUAGUCCGGAUCGCAGUCUGCAACUCGACUGCGUGAAGUCGGAAUCGCUAGUAAUCGCAAAUCAGAAUGCUGCGGUGAAUACGUUCCCGGGCCUUGUACACACCGCCCGUCACACCAUGGGAGUGGGUUGCAAAAGAAGUGGGUAGCUUAACCUUCGGGAGGGCGCUCACCACUUUGUGAUUCAUGACUGGGGUGAAGUCGUAACAAGGUA